AUUGAACGCUGGCGGCAGGCUUAACACAUGCAAGUCGAGCGGGGUGAUGGUGCUUGCACUAUCACUUAGCGGCGGACGGGUGAGUAAUGCUUAGGAAUCUGCCUAUUAGUGGGGGACAACAUUUCGAAAGGAAUGCUAAUACCGCAUACGUCCUACGGGAGAAAGCAGGGGACCUUCGGACCUUGCGCUAAUAGAUGAGCCUAAGUCGGAUUAGCUGGUUGGUGGGGUAAAGGCCUACCAAGGCGACGAUCUGUAGCGGGUCUGAGAGGAUGAUCCGCCACACUGGGACUGAGACACGGCCCAGACUCCUACGGGAGGCAGCAGUGGGGAAUAUUGGACAAUGGGCGGAAGCCUGAUCCGGCCAUGCCGCGUGUGUGAAGAAGGCCUUAUGGUUGUAAAGCACUUUAAGCGAGGAGGAGGCUACUUUAGUUAAUACCUAGAGAUAGUGGACGUUACUCGCAGAAUAAGCACCGGCUAACUCUGUGCCAGCAGCCGCCGUAAAAC
rnacentral:rRNA from 1 species